rnacentral:tRNA from 1 species
GGUUUAAGAAAAUAUUUGAGUGCAAAUCAAAUGAUGGGCUUGACGGUCCUUAAAUCU